rnacentral:rRNA from 1 species
AGUGAACGCUGGCGGUAGGCCUAACACAUGCAAGUCGAACGGCAGCACAGGAGAGCUUGCUCUCUGGGUGGCGAGUGGCGGACGUGUGAGGAAUACAUCGGAAUCUACUCUGUCGUGGGGGAUAACGUAGGGAAACUUACGCUAAUACCGCAUACGAUCUACGGGUGAAAGCAGGGGACCUUCGGGCCCUGCGCGAUUGAAUGAGCCGAUGUCGGAUUAGCUAGUUGGCGGGGUAAAGGCCCACCGAGGCGACGAUCCGUAGCUGGUCUGAGAGGAUAAUCAGCCAAACUGGAACUGAGACACGGUCCAGACUCCUACGGGAGGCAGCAUUGGGGAAUAUUGGACAAUGGGCGCAAGCCUGAUCCAGCCAUACCGCGUGGGUGAAGAAGGCCUUCGGGUUGUAAAGCCCUUUUGUUGGGAAAGAAAUCCAGCUGGCUAAUACCCGGUUGGGAUGACGGUACCCAAAGAAUAAGCACCGGCUAACUUCGUGCCAGCCGCCGCGGUAA